rnacentral:rRNA from 1 species
CCUACGGGAGGCAGCAGUGGGGAAUAUUGCACAAUGGGGGAAACCCUGAUGCAGCGACGCCGCGUGAGGGAAGAAGUAUCUCGGUAUGUUAAGCUCUAUCAGCAGGGAAGAAAAUGACGGUACCUGACUAAGAAGCCCCGGCUAACUACGUGCCAGCAGCCGCGGUAAUACGGAGGGGGCAAGCGUUAUCCGGAUUUACUGGGUGUUAAGGGAGCGUAGACGGCAGCACAAGUCUGGAGGGAAAUCCCGGGGCUUAACCCCGGAACUGCUUUGGAAACUGGGGGGCUGGAGUGUAGGAGGGGUAAGCGGAAUUCCUGGUGUAGCGGUGAAAUGCGUAGAUAUCAGGAGGAACACCGGUGGCGAAGGCGGCUUACUGGACUGUAACUGACGUUGAGGCUCGAAAGCGUGGGGAGCAAACAGGAUUAGAUACCCUAGUAGUC